rnacentral:snoRNA from 1 species
AAACCAUGCAUUGGGCAUUUUCUAAUUAACUCCUUGAAUCACUCCCAUGCUUCAUAUAAUGUUUCAUCCUAGAUUGUCGAAAGGAUGUAAUAUCGUUCCUCAAUUU